ensembl:lncRNA
GCCCUGAACCUCCUCUUGAAGAAGGCUGUUGGUCCUAAAACUGGCCCUGAACCUCCUCUUGAAGAAGGCUGUUGGUCCUACUGAUUGUUUGUUUUCAGCCUUGUUUAUUGUUUACUAAUAUUGAUUCAGAGUUAUUAUGAAGUGUCUCAUAUCUGGAUAACCUGGUCUAGUCCAAUGAGGUUAUCCAGAUAUGAUUAUCCAGACCACAUUAGAUAAUACAAUGACUGUGUCCCAGAGGGCGGCCUUUACCCUAUGGGCCCUGGUUAACAGUAGUGUCCCCUUUACCCUAUGGGCCCUGGUCAACAGUAGUGUCCUCUUUAUCCUAUGGGCCCUGGUUAACAGUAGUGUCCCCUUCACCCUAUGGGCCCUGGUUAACAGUAGUGUCCCCUUCACCCUAUGGGCCCUGGUCAACAGUAGUGUUGAGGGUAAAGGGUGCACUACUGUUGACCAGGGCCCAUAGUGGUGUCCCCUUUACCUUAUGGGCCCCGGUCAAUAGUAGUGCAUGACAGAGGGGAUAGGAUUCAAUUUGGGACACUGGCCUGUUGGUCAUGUAUGUGCCUCCUUUAGUAAAUGCUAAAGUUAAAAAACGUCAUAUUGUACAAGAACAACAAUUCAUGUUGAUUGUAAGUGUGUUUCUUCUGCUACCUGAGCUGUGUUUUGACUGUGAUGAUGAUGGUGUGUUGUCAGGUUGUUUUUCUAUUGUGUUUACGUCCACUGUGUCCCUACUACAGUACAUGGCUCCUGUUAUAGCUGCUAGCUGGUAGCAUUGAAUAGGGAAGUCGUUCUGUGUCUCUGUAACAAAUGCCUCCCUAUUAACUGCACUACUUUGGACCAGGGCCCUAUGGGUCAUGGUCAAAAGUAGUGCACUAUGUAGGGAAUAAGGUGCAUUUUGGGAUGCAUCCUCGAUCUGUCCUGUUCCACACCACUAAUAGCUGAGCUGAACUGGUGUCCAGAUGUCACUCAGAGGCCUGUUGGGAUGCAUCCUCAAUCUGUCCUGCUCCACAGAGGUCAGGGGCCUGUUGGGAUGCAUCCUCAAUCUGUCCUGCUCCACAGAGGUCAGGGGCCUGUUGGGAUCCAUUCCAAUAGAAGUCGGUCAGUUCAGGAAAUAAACUGAAAUUCCAAUUCAAUAAUUACAAUUAUUUCUCAAUAAACUGAAAAUGAGAAGCUAUUUAUUUCAGAAAGGUUUUUCCGUUUUCAUUAGGAAUCAGAUGGUUUUGGAGUCGGGGGCGAGUUUUCAGAAAGGUAUUUUCUCUGUUGAUGCUGUCAUCUAGAUGAUCUGCUGUGUCCAGUUUAAAUGAAUCCAUGUUACAGUGUCGACGGACCACCGAGACACCACCUAUCCUAAUUAGAUAUCUAGCAUGCACCUGACACCUGUGCUAAUUAGAUAUCUA